ensembl:lncRNA
GGGGGCGGGGGGAGCUGAAAACGAGACGUUUGCUUCUCUCAGCUACCUUGCAAGCCAAUAAUUACCGAACACAACGAUAAUUAAAUCUGUGACCAGAUGGGCCUAAUUCGGGGAGGAACUGAUUUUCCUGAGGCUGCUGCCAUCCUUGGGGACAGGGACGCCCCGGAGCGUGGCGCGGCCGGGGUCACGCGUGCCCUCUGCUGGGAGGCCCGUCCGCGUGCGUGACCUCACCGGCCGGGAUGCGGUGGUCCCGCUCUCCCCGACCGGAAGCCUUGGAGCCACUCGGCUUUAACUUGAUGGCGCUGUUUCAGACACUGUGGGAGGAAGGUCAGGAACACAGCAGAGCCUGAACUGGAUCUGGGCAGAUGAUCCCGGAGGAAGGACGGUGAGGACAGCUCACUCAGUCCAAACAAGCAACCUGGCUGGACUGGCCCGGAGCAAGAGGUCUCAGUCGGAGACCUGGCUGCGUCCGAAUGGGCCAGAGCUGAAGAGCUCAGCCGCCCAACUGCUAAGCCACGAAAAAACUUCUUCAGAGGAGGGCUGACACACACCAUCUUCUAAGGAAGGGAGCGUCUCUCCUUGGAGGGACCCAGUGUGCACUUUGCCUGUUUGCGGGCUAUGACUGCCCGGGGCAAUUUAAGACAGCAUUCGCAGUCACCUACAGAGAACUUGCUCUGUGCCAAGCACAUAUGUUAAUGCAAUUGGUGACAAAGGCCAGAAAACACGAAGAUUAAAAAAACCCACAGGCUUAGCUCACCUCUUCCUCUGCCUUCUUGCGGAGUCCUUCUUUUGUAAUCAUGAAUUGUGUUUAUUCCCAGCUUCGAAUUAAGUGGUUAAGUUUUCUUUCCGAAUGCAAACGCAGAGUGAUUCAAAGGGCAGUCUGAAUUCUGGGUUAUAAGGGCCAUGUGCUCGGCGGUCACAGCUCCCCGCAUUGCGUGGCACAGUCACUGUGACAUUCUUAGGAAGUUCCUCUCAUCGUCCCCAUUUAGCAGGUGGCAAAGUGGCAGAGGUGGACUCAAGCCUGGGCUCUGCAGCUCCAGCACGGACACAGCCCACCCGUGGUCCAAACCUCGCCCUGUACACUUGCUGGGAAACUGGGCAGUUAUCAGCUCCAUCGAGUGUUGUGCCCAAGGAGACUCUAUCACCAGAAGGGUGUUAAGUCGAGAGUAGCUGUUCACCGAGAUUCCUGUUUGCUCUCAUUACUGCCGAAUUGCAAGAGCGGAAGGUGCAAACUCCCCACCUGGACCGUUGGGCGUGAUGGUAACGCUGCUAUGUAGCUACGGGGGGGGGCACGUCACCAUCUAAAAGCCACUGGCUCAACAUGUGUGCCACGCUGAAAGACAGGCCCCUAGCCCUGCAGGAGGCUGUCCCCAAGCUGGCUUCCUACAGGUGUCUACCCAGAAGGAGUGUUCGGGACCAAACAGCCUUUCAAAGAUGGAGACGUGGUCCCCUCCGAGGCAAAGGACGAAGUUGAUUGCUGACCAGCAGGUUGCAAAAACAGUCCAGAGAGCUCCCGUGUGGACUUCACACAGCUUCCUUCGGUGAAAACGUCUCACGGAGCCGGAGGGCAGUCCAGCGAGGGGGCUGACGACGGUAUAAACUGCAGACAGUGUUUGGAUUUUGCCGGGUUUCACAGGUACCUUCGUGCUGCGUCUGUCAACUCCAGCCGGAGUCACCACCACGGGGUCAGGCUCCGGAGCUGCUCCCGUCCCCUGGAGUCUCACGCCGACCCCUGAGCUUUUGUCUCAUCCCCACCUUCUCUGUUGGAUCUGUCCAGGUCUCGAAGGUGUAACUGCUAAUGUUGGUUUUCCCUAAAUCUCAAAUCCUUACAAAAUCUUGUAUGAGAUGCUCAAAGCGCAGGUUGAUUGAAAACUUUUAUCUUUCGUAAAUCGGGCUUGAAUCGGCUCCUAAUGUUCAUCUUCCUCUUGAUUUUACUUCUUUUACCCUUGUUUUCAGUGGGUCUGAUGCUAUCCUUCCAGUCCUAUUUUUAUGACUCUUUACCUGGAAUCUUCAUUUUCAGCCUUUAUUCGUCUCCUGAAGUUAAAUUGUGUAGAGAGCAUAAGCAGGUUUACUUUUUAUGCUUCAUGGAAGGGUCUUUUUUUUUUUUAAAUAAGAAAACAAAUCCAUUCACAUUUAGUGUACUGACAGAUAGACUUUUCUUUGUUCCCGUUAUUUUAAAUAAGUUAUUUUUUAUUUGACAUUGCUGUUUUCUAUUUUCCUUUUCCAUGUGUUUGUUGGUGUGUUCAAAGGUUCUUCACUCAAUUUUUUGGUCCCAUUUUAUUUUUUUAAUUUUUAUUUUGUUUUAUUUUGCUUUUUAUGGCCAGACUAUGGAAGUGCCCAGGCAAGAGGUCAAAUUGGAGCUGCAGCUACCAGCCUAGGCCACAGUCACACCACGGGAUCCUUAACCCACUGAGCAAGGCCAGGGAUCGAACCCACAUCCUCAUGGAUACCAGUCAGGUUCGUCUCCACUGAGCCACAACGGGAACUCCUGUCCUUUGUUUCUUUAAAUUUUAAAAAAUUGCAGCAUGGUUUGCACUUAAUAAAUGGUUGUCUUUCCUUUCUUG